GUUCUGCUGUUGAAAGGCCGUUGAUACUGACAUCCUACUCAUGCCACACAAAAUAACCCCUUUCCCAAACAGAAUCAGCAAUGGACUGAGUGAUCUGGAAGGCUACUCUGUCAUAGAAGUGGAAACAGUCUUGGUAGUCCAUUUGGCUCUUCUGGGUUCAAGUUUUAUUUUUGCCACUUAACAUCUAAGUAAAUGAAUCCACAGGAACUUAACCCACAACAGAAGCUUAGUGUAAUGGAAACUCCAUCCCAACCAGGAAAUGUCAAGAACACAAAGUUUCCUCUAGCUCCAGCUUCCUGUUAAGGACUACACUAUCUUCUCCAGAAAGUUGGGACAUCAGCAUUUUAUAUCCUGACUUCAAGUUACCUGUCAAAGAGGAUAAUUCCUGAAAAAAAGCAGCAGUGUUAUUUUCUUCUUUCCGGCCCUAUUUGUGGUAUCAAAGCUUCAACUAAGGUGUAGUGAGCUGAAAGUAUGGGAUUCCUGUUCACCCUCACUGUCUUGGUCAUAAAGUGGAGAUUAAGUGUUGGGAAAGAAAAAGCUAAUAAAACUAGGUCCCGAGGCAA